ACCUACACUACAUCAUCAUUAAUAUAAUUGUGAAUUAAAACUAGUUAUAUAUAGUGGGAGGAGGUUAGGUUUGUUGGUUUUUACUGCGGUGGGGCGGGGCGUCCACGUGCUUACUACGUAGUUAUUAACAUUCUUUCUGGGCCUUCAUAUUGUAGCUGUGACAGUCAGGUCCGUAAGGACACCCCACUGCCUGUGCCUGUCCAUAAAAUCCCCCCCUUCUCUCCUCCUUACCUUUCUUCAUAAUUCCUUUUUCUCUAUCUCAUUCUCACCACCAUCAAUCUCUCUCUCUCCUUGUAUUCAUCUAGUAUUUCCCAUGGUAGACAGAGAAAAGAUUGCAAAGCAGAAAGUAACCCUGGAAUUUUCACAACUACUAGGGUAUGAGUUUGAUGAAAUCACUGACUUUGAUGGGCUUACAAAGGGAGGAAGCCUUGAUACAAGAGGAGAAAAUCUUGGUUCAUAUAAUUUGUAUGAUGAAGAUUAAUGGGCAAUCGGUGUAUACUUGUUCACGCUAGUUCACUGGGUGCUAUCCUACCUGAGCUUUUUUUUCUUUUUAUUUUUAUUUUUUGACUUGUUGCCUUUUAUUUUUCUCCCUUUGAUUGUUUUCUUGACCUUGUAAGACCUUUUCUUGACCUUGUAAGACCCCAUUUGUUGUGGUCUUUUCCUAUUUUUUAUGUGGUUUUGGAUGCCACACCGGAGUAUUUUGGUGUUGGCCUCAUCUACUUUUUUUCUUCGUUCCCGUCCAACUCACGUUCUCCUUCCUUGUCUAUCCCUCCUGAGCUAUUCAAAUUUACAAGUGUUUCUAUGUGGAUCAGUAUUGUCAUCAAGAAACACCUUUGGGAAACUUGACUCUUAUUUUUUUUUUGGUUGUAAUAAAUUGGGAUUAGUGUUAGAAAUGUAAUAAAAAAGAAAAGGUGGUGUUUGUAAUUGGAUAUAUAUAUUAUGUGAUUGAGUAAAAGCUGGACAGUGUAUAUUCUUGUGGUAGGGCCAUGAAUUUGAAUUGUAUUAGAUGGGCAGAUAGCCAAAUAUAGAGAUGGUGUGGGGGUUGAGUCCCUGAGUUUGGUUGUUUUAUAUGUUGUUGGGGUGAAAAGUAGUAUGAGAAUAAAUAUUCUUGCAGUGAUGUGUGGAAA